CUUUAUGCCACUGAACUGCACACGUUAAAAUGGCUAAAUGCAGGUCUGGGCAGCAGAUGAACAACAAGGCAUGUGCCCAGCUCUGUUGCCAACAAGAAGAGGAACCAGGAGGCCUGUUUGGAUUCGCCCACCUCUCUCACCUGCUGGGCUCCGGCCGGAGUCCGCAGCGCCCCCGCUGGGGCCGUGGUCCCAGCUCUCCGAGUCCCGGCCAGAGGUGCUCGUCCGUGCCU